CUCAUCUCACGUGAAACCAAAGAAACAACAAAAGAAAAAUCUCUCUCCUUCAUCCUUCACCCUUCACGUGAACCCUCAAACCCUCAAACCUUGCAGCCGCCAGCCACCAGCCACCGCACACCGCCUGCACCACCCUCGCCGUCGGCGUCUCCUCCUUCGUCCGCAACCACCACCCACCUGCGAAACUGACCGCGACGGCCACCGUCCUGUGUCGUCGCCGACCAACCAGCACCAACUUCGCAAUCCUUCCACACGCAAACAGUCCUACCUUUGGCUUGCUCCUUGCUCACAGCACCACCACCAACGACCCGAGCAACCCUCGCUGCCACCAUCGACAGCCGCCACCGCCGCUGCCGCGCCAUCUCCGACCGCCGUCCAACCACUCUUCAUUCUUUCUUUUGGUGGAGAAUUCUCCGUAGGCGACUUUUGAAUUAUUAAAGUGGUCUUGCAGUUUGUUUACACAAGGUACGUACAUACCUGUGUGCUUGGAAUGUGUGCUAAUUGUUGAAACCAUGUUGAAUCUUGUUGUUGAACUUGGUUAUGUUGAUACUAUUGUUGAACUUGGUGAUGUUGAUAUUAUGGACGAACUGGGUUAUAUUGAAUGUGCAUGUUUAAUACUGUUGGACAAACUUAUUGAACUUAUUUUGCACUAUAAGAACUGUAACAUGUUAGUAUGGAUGUUUGAUACAAACAUGUUGGUUGGGAACACUAGAUUAUUCUAUAUGAUUGGGUUGGAUCAAUUGGUUGUUGUUCCCUUUCUAUCUUUUCACUACUUUAUAAGGGCGGAGGACCUUGUUUAGUAAGUUGAAACUUUAUGCCCAUAUACAGGGUUGCUCAUGGUUAAAGGAAAGGUUGGUUAAGUUG